AAUGUUUAAACACACUACACAGUAAAUAAAUUCUUACCACAUAUACAGAACAUCAACAGAUUAAAUUUGAACUAUCACAAUAAUUACAGCUACCAGCCUGCCUCUAUCCCUCCUAUGAAGAAUUUCACAUUCCCUCUCUGUUGGAAAACUCCAAAGAAAUGUGGGUUCUUCCAGGGAGAACUAGAUUCUUGAUUAGGAACACUUUCUACCCAUCCUUGCAGCUUAAAAGUUUUCACCUGUCUCUGAAAACAGUACAUCCUAGAUCUUACAUGCCCUUAUAAUCUACUAUUUCUUUUCUUUUUUUUUUUUCCAUCCAGUCUGAGAUUUCUUUUAGGGGUUGCCCUUUUUGAUUCCACUCUAGUGAUAAGCUUUCAUCCCCAUCCCUGAGGAGAGCCGGCCCACCUGGGAGGAGGGGUGGAGAGGCAGCUGAGGAAGGAAUGGGGUUGGAAAUGUAAGCAUGUUUUUGUUUUUAGAAAGAGAAUAGCAAAUAUUUUUAGAUAAAGUAGGGGAUGCAAACAUUUACAAGAAUAAAAUCUAGCUCUGUAUUUAAUAAUCAAAACGUGUCUACAAAAACAAGUAUCUCUGAGACAUCCGAGCAUGGGAGAAUUGAUGCUGGUUUUCCGUGUUAAACUAAAGCUCCUCAGGUGCCCGUUUCCUCUUGGCUUGGAUAGUGAGUUGGUGCUGGGUGGCUUCUUCAAUGUUCUGAAGUAGGUGGAUUUCCCACUGGCUCACUCGCUCCAUUGCAGCUUUCAGCUUUUUCGGGUCUGGUCUCUUUCUCCUGGCUGUAUUGGGAAUCCCUGGCAAUCCUGAGUUUCGUGGCCAGCUCCUUGCUAGGUGACCACAGAGCUGACCCCUGCCAGGUGGAUCGGGAGGUCCUGUAAAGAGUGUGCAGGCAUUGGGGACCCUCCUGCAGGCAUUGGGGACCCUCCUGCGGGCAUUGAGGACCCUCCUGCAGCACCACAUUUCUUGAGUUACAGGGAAAGCAAAAUAUUGGUGCUAAAACCAGAGGAUAAUUUUGAUUCUUCGCUGCUCUUGGACACAUGAAACUGUAACAAACAAGUGCUAAAAAGCCAAAGUCAAGUUGCUUUCUAUAAGUUGUCCAAUGUUACUAACAGGUCACCAUUACAGUCAGCUACAGUUACUGUGAUUGCUUUACAUGAAGUUAUAAAAUUAAUACCUUCAUCUAUUUUAAGCAAUUGAACUUUGUAACCCUCUCAAUAAAAUGAAUUAA